CGUUGAAGCCUACGGAAUGGGUUGGCGGUGUGGUUAUUGAUUUGCUCGCCUGAACAGUAUGCUACGAUUAUCAAAAAUCACUCCGGAGGAUUGACUACUUUCCAUACCUCUUAGCACAACAGGCGUUGGAUGCCAACAACAAAGAAAGU